CCUUCAGUAGUGGUAGUCCUAGUCCAGUUCCUCUUUGAAAAACAUACAGUGAAACUUCCUGCAUUCAACUGACACACAACCACCACUGAUAAAUUCAUCUAGGCAGUGAAUCUGAUUCAUGCUUCCUGCAUUGUCAGAGAAGCCAUGAGAAAAAGCAGCCUGAGGGCACCUGAAGGAUUGGUAUGAAAAGGAUGUCUGAGCAGAAGCCCAGCCUAUUCAAAUCAUCUCACCUGAUUAGUGCUCACAUUGGUAAAAGCCUUCUGUUUAACUGAGGUUACUGCCUUUCAUUUACCAGGCUGAAAGGGUCACUGUGAUCAUCUUCUCUGAGUUCUGGCAUAAUGCAGACCAACACAGCUACCAAAUACAUCCCUGAAACAUGACAGAUGCCAAUUUUUUGUCAAUUUUGGAAUGAUAAACUUCACUGCUAAACAACAAAGGAAGAUUUCUACACCUCUCUGCCUUUCUGCCAUCUGACACCACCAAGGAAGAAAUACUGCCUUAUCUGUACAUCAAAGAGCAAGUCACACAAAGUAACUCUCAUGGACCCAGAGGAACAGACAACCUGUAGGGACUUUUACUAUCUUUAGUUUUCCCUCAGCCUGAAAAAGGGGCAUGUGCCCUAACGCUUGCAAAGA